UACGAAGGGGGCUAGCGUUGCUCGGAAUCACUGGGCGUAAAGCGCACGUAGGCGGGUCUUUAAGUCAGGGGUGAAAUCCUGGAGCUCAACUCCAGAACUGCCUUUGAUACUGAGGAUCUCGAGUCCGGGAGAGGUGAGUGGAACUCCGAGUGUAGAGGUGAAAUUCGUAGAUAUUCGCAAGAACACCAGUGGCGAAGGCGGCUCACUGGCCCGAUACUGACGCUGAGGCACGAAAGCGUGGGGAGCAAACAGG
rnacentral:rRNA from 1 species